rnacentral:rRNA from 1 species
CGGGACUGGUGAGUAACGCGUGAGGAACCUGCCUUCCAGAGGGGGACAACGGUUGGAAACGACUGCUAAUACCGCAUAAUGUAUUGGGGCCGCAUGACCCUGAUACCAAAGAUUUAUCGCUGGAAGAUGGCCUCGCGUCUGAUUAGCUGGUAGGUGAGGUAACGGCUCACCUAGGCGACGAUCAGUAGCCGGACUGAGAGGUUGACCGGCCACAUUGGGACUGAGAUACGGCCCAGACUCCUACGGGAGGCAGCAG